AUCGACGCUGCUGACUUGAUCCAAAGUGUGAAAGAUGACUGGGAACAAAUUUUUUUUCUUGUGGAAUGUUAGAAACAGAUGUUCGAAAUCCACGAUAUUCUUUUUGAGGAGAGGGCGAACGUAAAUCAUCGACAGAAAGUGGCUUUAAGGUUGAUCGAUUCGUGAUAGAACCACUUCCCCCAAAAGACAUGUUUCCGGCAAUAUUACUAGAGUCUUGUGAUAGACUGUUGUGUAACAUAUGUUUUGCAACGUAUAUAAAUUAGCGGUAAGUUCAUUUGAAGGAGAUGGCUUGCAUGGAAUGAAUCAUGAAGCCUAGCGUA